rnacentral:rRNA from 1 species
CAGUAGCCACGGUAAUACGGAGGGCGCGAGCGUUACCCGGAUUUACUGGGCGUAAAGGGCGUGUAGGCGGCCUGGGGCGUCCCAUGUGAAAGGCCACGGCUCAACCGUGGAGGAGCGUGGGAUACGCUCAGGCUAGAGGGUGGGAGAGGGUGGUGGAAUUCCCGGAGUAGCGGUGAAAUGCGCAGAUACCGGGAGGAACGCCGAUGGCGAAGGCAGCCACCUGGUCCACUUCUGACGCUGAGGCGCGAAAGCGUGGGGAGCAAACCGGAUUAGAUACCCCUGUAGUCCCUGUCUCUUAUAC